rnacentral:rRNA from 1 species
AUGAAGGGUCGGCGGCCGCCGAGCGUGGUGAGGGAGAUCGUGUACGGGAUGAGCCUGGGGCUCUUCGCGGGGUACCUGUGGAAGCUGCACCACUGGAGCAACCAGCGGCGCACCCGCGAGUUCUACGCCCUGCUCGACGAGGGCAGGAUCUCCGUCGUCGUCGACGAGCCGGCCGGAGCCAAGGAGUAG